UUGCUGGGCAAUCGAACGAGGCCUUAUUGAAUGAUUUCAGUUUCUUUCAGCAAACUGAGAAAAACGACUGGUUCCUGACUGCAGCAACAGCACGACGCUUGACUUAUUUCAUCAAAAAUAAGCAUAAGCAAAAAUGGAGAUAUUAACGUACAGGUCAGUAAUCCCGUAAAAGUAUUGACGAAUACUAGAUCAAGAAUGCCCAGCAGAUCACCUACAAAUCCCUACCAGGACCUCCAGCUGCCGAAUCGCAUUUUUUAGAUGAUAGGGAAGCAAGACGAACAUAAGAAGCGUUCAAACAAAUUAACUGGUUAAUGAUGUGAGCAAGAACGUUUUUUACAAAUAAUCAUUGGAACAAACGUAUAAAUCAUCAGAAGUUAAAAGGAUUUACACAAGCCACGCUGAAAAUUUCGUUCUACCCAAUAACACAUGAUCGCUUGAGACUCGAGACAAUUCAUGAACUAUCAAACAAAAAACAUAGACUGUUCAUGAACGAACAAGCAACGCAUCGGAUCCAGCGGAAUCGAGCAGCAGCUAGUAUCCUGGCGAGGCAGCCUGGGCCUGGCGCUUGAUCUCCGACCAGAGGCUGCGGAUAAGGCGUAGGCUCUUCCCACCCGUAGUCGGCCUCGGCACUGGCCACAUCCCCUUCCGCGCGGCGGCCACGGUGGCGGUGGUGUCGGAGGCGGACGAGCUGGGGGCGCUGGACGGAGGCAGGGACGGCGGCGGAAUCUUCGUCGGCGACGGCGAGGGCUUGAUCGUCCUGACGUGUCGGCGCGGGACAUGGACGGUGCCGUAGGGGUCACCCGGCGGCCAGUUGCCGUCGUAUACGACCUCGUAGCCUCCGUGUGUGGGCGACACGAUCGUCGCUCUGAACCAGAACACGAGAACCUCCCCGGUCUUCAGCGUCGUGGUCCUCGUGCGGACGCCGACCUCACUGCCAGGUCUCAGGUGCUCGCCAGCGCCGAGGGUGGAUGGGCUUGCGGACCCCGCGGAGGAGGGGGCGGAGCGGGGCGGCGGCUGCGGCGUGGAGGGAGAGAUGACAUUGGGGCGCAGCGAAGGGUGAGGCCGAUGUCGCGGCGCGUGGGUGCUGGCGGACUUUGAGUUGGUGGACGACGGAUCAGCACCCUCACGCGGCGGCGGCGGCGGCGCGGAUGGCGUCGUCUUGGCGACCGAUCUCUUGGGACCGGAUCGAGGAGGAGAAGCGGAGAUGGCGGAAGGUUGGCGGUGGAUGGAUUGAUC
rnacentral:lncRNA from 1 species